rfam:Halobacillus sp. BBL2006 cont31, whole genome shotgun sequence.
UAGUCCUUUAAAGACAGUCCCGUGAGGCUGGAAAGGUUUCGGAAUACACAUGCGAGACAUGUGUCUAAAUCCCUUUUCUGCCUCUGUGCGGAUAAGGGAUUUUUUAGU